UACGAAGGGGGCUAGCGUUGUUCGGAAUUACUGGGCGUAAAGCGCACGUAGGCGGAUAUUUAAGUCAGGGGUGAACUCCCAGAGCUCAACUCUGGAACUGCCUUUGAUACUGGGUAUCUUGAGUAUGGAAGAGGUAAGUGGAAUUGCGAGUGUAGAGGUGAAAUUCGUAGAUAUUCGCAGGAACACCAGUGGCGAAGGCGGCUUACUGGUCCAUAACUGACGCUGAGGUGCGAAAGCGUGGGGAGCAAACAGG
rnacentral:rRNA from 1 species